GAUGAACGCUGGCGGCGUGCCUAAUACAUGCCAGUCGAGCGAACGGACGAGAAGCUUGCUUCUCUGAUGUUAGCGGCGGACGGGGGAGUAAAACGUGGAUAACCUACCUAUAAGACUGGGAUAACUUCGGGAAACCGGAGCUAAUACCGGCUAAUAUUUUGAACCGCAUGGUUCAAAAGUGAAAGACGGUCUUGCUGUCACUUAUAGAUGGAUCCGCGCUGCAUUAGCUAGUUGGUAAGGUAACGGCUUACCAAGGCAACGAUGCAUAGCCGACCUGAGAGGGUGAUCGGCCACACUGGAACUGAGACACGGUCCAGACUCCUACGGGAGGCAGCAGUAGGGAAUCUUCCGCAAUGGGCGAAAGCCUGACGGAGCAACGCCGCGUGAGUGAUGAAGGUCUUCGGAUCGUAAAACUCUGUUAUUAGGGAAGAACAUAUGUGUAAGUAACUGUGCACAUCUUGACGGUACCUAAUCAGAAAGCCACGGCUAACUACGUG
rnacentral:rRNA from 1 species